CUCCUCUUGAGAAAAAUAAGAGGUAUGAUCUGCUCCAUGCGUAAGUAAAUUGCCGCAGUAUCUUGACUGUGCUAAGGUAGCAAAAUAAUUUGGCUUUUAAUUGGAGUCUGGAAUGAAUGAUUUGACAAAGUCUAAUCUGUCUCGUUUAUUUUUCUUGAAAUUAGAGUUUUUGUAAAAAUACAGAAAUAAGAGAGAGGGACGAAAAGACCCUAUAGAUCUUUACUCUUCUUGGAAAAAUUACUUUUGCUAGGCUGAGUUUUCUUGGGGCAAGACUAAAAAUUGAAUUUUGGUUGGAGGAAAAGACUGAUUAGUCGAAAAGAUGAAAAAUAAUAAGAUAAGUUACCUUAGGGAUAACAGGAUGAUUCUUUUACUCAGAACUUAUAAGGAAAAGAGUUUAUCACCUCGAUGUUGAAUUAAGUUUUCUUUUGUUCGUAGAAGGGCACGGAGUUAGUCUGUUCGACUAUUAAAAACUU
rnacentral:rRNA from 1 species